AUUUCAGUGUGCAGAGAAGGGCAUAAAAGAUGUCAUUCUGGGCUGGACUGCCUGCCCAGUCUUUGAAGGACUUUCCUGGGAUUGUAGAGAUUUCUGGGCUAAAACAUAUGUAUGUAUAGGAAACCCAUGAUUUUUUUGGUCCUGAUGGCUUUAAAGGGUUUUUUCCCUCAUCCAGGUUGUUUGGACCAUAGCAGAAAUGAGGAGGAGUAUAAGCAUAUCUAAGUCUAUGCUUCUCUUGGCAGGGAGCAAGAGAUAGGAUGUUGCCCCUUGCAAGUAGAGACUGCAGCACUUGAGCAUGCAGGGAGGUAAUGAGAGAAGAGCAAGAAGAAAGAAGAUCCAUCUUGCUAGCAGACAGUCAGACUUCAGGAGUUCUGCGCUGCACUAGGGCUGAAGCCCAUUUUUUGUCUGCGCUAAGUCUGGAUUCUCAUCUGCCAAGUGGGGCCAGAGAGCCUAGCAUCCAAGGAUAGAGAGGAAAUCUUCUGGAGAACCUCAACAAGGUGAAACAAGGUAUGUAGAUCUCAUUAAAUGAUUAUCUUGUGUACUUGUGUCUUGUGUGCAUGGGCUUUGUCUGCU
rnacentral:lncRNA from 1 species